CCUACGGGGUGCAGCAGUGGGGAAUAUUGGACAAUGGGCGCAAGCCUGAUCCAGCAAUGCCGCGUGUGUGAAGAAGGCCUGCGGGUUGUAAAGCACUUUCAGUAGAGAAGAAAAGCCUAGGGUUAAUAACCCUGAGUCUUGACGUAACCUACAGAAGAAGCACCGGCUAACUCCGUGCCAGCAGCCGCGGUAAUACGGAGGGUGCGAGCGUUAAUCGGAAUUACUGGGCGUAAAGCGCGCGUAGGCGGUUUUGUAAGUCGAAUGUGAAAGCCCCGGGCUUAACCUGGGAAUUGCGUUCGAU
rnacentral:rRNA from 1 species